rnacentral:rRNA from 1 species
CCCUUAGAUGUUCUGGGCUGCACGCGCGCUACACUGAAGCGUUCAACGAGUAUUCACCUUGCCCGGGAGGGUUGGGUAAUCUUUUGAAAACGCUUCGUGAUGGGGAUAGAUUAUUGCAAUUAUUAAUCUUCAACGAGGAAUUCCUAGUAAGCGCGAGUCAUCAGCUCGUGCUGAUUACGUCCCUGCCCUUUGUACACACCGCCCGUCGCUCCUACCGAUUGAGUGUGUUGGUGAGGAGUUUGGAUUGGCCUCGGAAGGUGGUUCGCCACCGUCCGUAGCUGAGAAGUUCUCCAAACCGCCCCACUUAGAGGAAGGAGAAGUCGUAACA